rnacentral:rRNA from 1 species
GUUGAGCACUCCUACGGGAGGCAGCAGUGGGGAAUAUUGCACAAUGGGCGCAAGCCUGAUGCAGCCAUGCCGCGUGUAUGAAGAAGGCCUUCGGGUUGUAAAGUACUUUCAGCAGUGAGGAAGGUGGGUAUGUUAAUAGCAUAUUCAUUUGACGUUAGCUGCAGAAGAAGCACCGGCUAACUCCGUGCCAGCAGCCGCGGUAAUACGGAGGGUGCGAGCGUUAAUCGGAAUUACUGGGCGUAAAGCGCAUGCAGGUGGUUUGUUAAGUCAGAUGUGAAAGCCCGGGGCUCAACCUCGGAAUUGCAUUUGAAACUGGCAAACUAGAGUACUGUAGAGGGGGUAGAAUUUCAGGUGUAGCGGUGAAAUGCGUAGAGAUCUGAAGGAAUACCGGUGGCGAAGGCGGCCCCCUGGACAGAUACUGACACUCAGAUGCGAAAGCGUGGGGAGCAAACAGGAUUAGAUACCCUGGUAG